rnacentral:rRNA from 1 species
GACGAACGCUGGCGGCGUGCCUAAUACAUGCAAGUAGAACGCUGAAGGAGGAGCUUGCUUCUCCGGAUGAGUUGCGAACGGGUGAGUAACGCGUAGGUAACCUGCCUGGUAGCGGGGGAUAACUAUUGGAAACGAUAGCUAAUACCGCAUAAGAGUAGAUGUCGCAUGACAUUUGCUUAAAAGGUGCAACUGCACCACUACCAGAUGGACCUGCGUUGUAUUAGCUAGUUGGUGAGGUAACGGCUCACCAAGGCAACGAUACAUAGCCGACCUGAGAGGGUGAUCGGCCACACUGGGACUGAGACACGGCCCAGACUCCUACGGGAGGCAGCAGUAGGGAAUCUUCGGCAAUGGACGGAAGUCUGACCGAGCAACGCCGCGUGAGUGAAGAAGGUUUUCGGAUCGUAAAGCUCUGUUGUAAGAGAAGAACGAGUGUGAGAGUGGAAAGUUCACACUGUGACGGUAUCUUACCAGAAAGGGACGGCUAACUACGUG